rnacentral:rRNA from 7 species
UCCCUGAGACUUAGAGUCUCCUGAAGGAACGUUGAAGACGACGACGUUGAUAGGCCGGGUGUGUAAGCGCAGCGAUGCGUUGAGCUAACCGGUACUAAUGAACCGUGAGGCUUAACCUU